UGUUUCACAUUUUGGAUAUUGGGGUAGUUGAUGGGGAAUAUAAAAAAGAAGAGGAAGAUUAAGGGAAAGAUUAUAAAUUAAAUUAGGGUUGUAUUGAGUCUGAGGUUCUAGUGGGAGAGCCUCAAUUUUUUUUUUUUUUUUUUUUUU